rnacentral:rRNA from 1 species
AAUCAACGCUGGCGGCGUGCCUCAGACAUGCAAGUCGAACGAUUAAACUUCUCUUCGGAGAAGAUAUAAAGUGGCGCACGGGUGAGUAACACGUAGGUAAUGUACCUUUGGGUGGGGAAUAACUUAGGGAACUUAAGCUAAUACCGCAUAAUGCAGCGGCUCCUUAUGGAGACAAUUGUUAAAGAUUUAUCGCCUAAAGAGCAGCCUGCGGCAGAUUAGCUAGUUGGAAGGUAAUGGCUUACCAAGGCUACGAUCUGUAUCCGACCUGAGAGGGUGGGUCGGACGACACUGACACUGAAUAACGGGUCAGACUCCUACGGGAGGCAGCAGUCGGGUAAUUUUGGGCAAUGGGCGAAAGCCUGACCCAGCAACGCCGCGU